GACACGACUCUCGGCAAUGGAUAUCUCGGCUCUUGCAUCGAUGAAGAGCGCAGCGAAAUGCGAUACGUGGUGCGAAUUGCAGAAUCCCGCGAACCAUCGAAACUUUGAACGCAAGUUGCGCCCGAGGCUAUCCGGCCAAGGGCACGUCUGCCUGGGUGUCAUGC
rnacentral:rRNA from 1 species